rnacentral:tRNA from 1 species
GGAGCUGUGGCUCAGUGAGUAAGAGUACUUACUGCUGUUCCAGAGGCUCUGGGUUCAGUUCCCAGCACCUCCG